UAAUAAGUGAUCAAAAUAAUUUUAAUUUAAUCUUAAACCUGGUGCUUUCAAAUAUUUCAGGAGGUCUGUUGCAGUGGUAUCUAUAUUUAUUUAGUAUCAAAAUAGAACCACUUGAAAUAAUCAUUAUUUUAUAGACCAAAGAGGGCUUUAUAUAGCUUUUAACUUUUUAUCUGCUAACUUGUGUUUAGGUCAAGAAUUCAAACAGAGCAUCGGUUAUCAGUUAUUGAGGGUGAGGCCAAGAGUGCCCAGCUGAUAGGUCAAGCUAUUGCCAAUAAUCCGGCAUUUAUUACCCCAAGGAAGAUUGAAGCUGCUAGAGAAAUUGCACAUACAAUCUCAAAUUCAGCCAACAAGGUUUUCUUGACUUCAGAUGAACUGUUGUUGAACCUUCAGGAGACAAACUUGGGGACCUCCACUGGGCAGAAGUAAACA